rnacentral:rRNA from 1 species
GACGAACGCUGGCGGCGUGCUUAACACAUGCAAGUCGAACGGAAAGGCCCUGCUUGCAGGUUACUCGAGUGGCGAACGGGUGAGUAACACGUAGGUGAUCUGCCCUGCACUUCGGGAUAAGCCUGGGAAACUGGGUCCAAUACCGGAUAGGAGCCAUUUGCUGCGUGAUUGUUGGAUGGAUUUUUCGGUGUAGGAUGAGCGCGCGGCCUAUCAGCUUGUUGGUGGGGUAAUGGCCUACCAAGGCGGCGACGGGUAGCCGGCCUGAGGGGGUGGACGGCCACAUUGGGGGUGCGGAGCGACCCAGACUCCUACGGGGGGCAGCAGUGGGGAAUAAUGCACGAUGGGGGGAAGCCUGAUGCAGCAACGACGCGUGGUGGAUGAAGGAGUUUGGGUUGUAAACAACUUUCGCCAGGGACGAAGCUUUUUGUGACGGUACCUAGAUAAGAAGCGCCGGCUAACUACGUG